ACCAUUAGAUAAGUAUUGGAGAUGACUCAUGCUGGAGUAUUGGUAGCUGUGCUGCUGAGAUGGAUAUCCUGUUUUAUAACUGCUAUAGUGUGAUGCCAAGAGCCAGGAACCUUAAUUUCACUAUCCAGGCUUUUCUGUGAAAGUGCUUUGGGUCUCUGGCACCUUUUCUCCUUGGUUUGUCCAUCUAAAGGGUUCACAAGGGGAGGUUUUGCUUCCCCCAGUGGGGUACAGGGUAUGGGGCAGCUCAUGGUACCUUGAAAUGAAAGCUAGUUGAAAGGCUGUAGCUUUAUAGCUCUUCUUCAGGACGUGCAAUAUUUGUCUUUUUCAUAGAUGUCAUUAGUGUCUUUCCUCGAUUCUUUGGGUUUUUUUGUUUUGUUUGUGUUUUUUCAGAGCCAUUAAACCCUUUCUUCAGCGGAACAAACCAGAAGGUGCAGAAACAGAUUUUCUAACUAUGGAAGCUCUCCUGAGGAGCCACAUUAUGUGCUGCUGCCCCUGGGAUGGGAUGCAGAGCAAGGAGUGAAGAAGAGCUGUGAUGUGCCACUGAAAGUUGCUUUUGACAACAGAUGCUAUUUCCUGUUAGAGAUGCUUUAUAUGCAAAUCAAAGUGCUACAACAAGAAAAAAGUCCUGAAAGCAAUCACACUGAUAAACUCAGCCCACUGGGGAAUUCCUGCUUAUCAUUUAUCUUUUCUUUUUUCAGUUCUGUACAAGAUACUUCUUUGCCUGUGCUUUUUUACAGUCUUUAAUGUUUGUCCUGACAGACUUCUUGCUUAUGGACUACAGUGCUUGCAUUUUGCAGGGCUCUAUGUCAGUCUGCACAAACAAAAGGCAGUAAGUGCUGGAAAUUGGGGUUAACAGUCCCUGUGUUUCAGCUUGAUCUUGCAUUGAUCUGGUGCUUUCUGAAGUUCAAGCCAGACAUGAGCCUCACACUACAGAUUGCCAUGUGCCUGUUGUGAUGAUCUGCUUGGAAAGGUGAUCCCAGAAACCUCAGGAAUGAAAAAAAAAAGAGAGAUAAAAAACAAAAAGAAGCCAGCAAAAAAAUUACCUAGUAACUUAAACAGGAGCAGGAUUUGACCUGAGGCACCUCAAGAGAUGGUGUGGGCAGCACUGCACUAAUAAUGCAGUAGCACGAGUUGUUCACCUCAUUGCUCCAGCAGAGCAAACUCACAUGGAAUCACAGACUGGUUUGGGUGGGAAGGGACCUUAAAGAUCAUCUA
rnacentral:lncRNA from 1 species